rnacentral:rRNA from 1 species
CCUACGGGAGGCAGCAGUGGGGAAUAUUGCACAAUGGGGGAAACCCUGAUGCAGCGACGCCGCGUGAAGGAAGAAGUAUUUCGGUAUGUAAACUUCUAUCAGCAGGGAAGAAAAUGACGGUAUCUGACUAAGAAGCCCCGCCUAACUACGUGCCAGCAGCCGCGGUAAUACGUAGGGGGCAAGCGUUAUCCGGAUUUACGGGGGGUAAAGGGAGCGUAGGCGGUUUAGCAAGUCAGAUGUGAAAGCCCGGGGCUCAACCCCGGGACUGCUUUUGAAACUGUUUAACUCGAUUACAGGAGAGGUAAGUGGAAUUCCUUGUGUAGCGGUGAAAUGCGUAGAUAUAAGGAAGAACACCAGUGGCGAAGGCGGCUGACUGGACUGUAAAUGACGCUGAGGCUCGAAAGCGUGGGGAGCAAACAGGAUUAGAUACCCGAGUAGUC